CCUACGGGCGGCAGCAGUGAGGAAUAUUGGUCAAUGGGCGCGAGCCUGAACCAGCCAAGUAGCGUGAGGGAUGACGGUCCUAUGGAUUGUAAACUUCUUUUGUCGGGGAGUAAAAUGCGCCACGCGUGGCGUUCUGUGAGUACCAGAUGAAAAAGCAUCGGCUAACUCCGUGCCAGCAGCCGCGGUAAUACGGAGGAUACGAGCGUUAUCCGGAUUUAUUGGGUUUAAAGGGGGCGUAGGCGGAAAGUUAAGUCAGCUGUGAAAAUUGGCGGCUCAACCCUAUCCGGGCAGUUGAAACUGGGUGUCUUGAGUGCGUGAGAGGUAGGCGGAAUUCGUGGUGUAGCGGUGAAAUGCUUAGAUAUCACGAAGAACUCCGAUUGCGAAGGCAGCAUACUGGAGUUCAACUGACGCUGAGGCUCGAAAGUGUGGGUAUCGAACAGGAUUAGAUACCCGAGUAGUC
rnacentral:rRNA from 1 species